rnacentral:piRNA from 1 species
UGAUACUCGGAAUUUGGCACAGCUCUGCUU